rnacentral:rRNA from 1 species
UACGUAGGCAGCAAGCGUUGUUCGGAAUUACUGGGCGUAAAGAGUGUGUAGGCGGUGCUCUAAGUUCGGUGUGAAAUCUCCCGGCUCAACUGGGAGGGUGCGCCGGAAACUGGGGGUGCUGGAGCGCGGGAGAGGAAAGCGGAAUUCCUGGUGUAGCGGUGGAAAUGACGGUAGAUAUCAGGAGGAACACCGGCGGUGUAGACGGCUUUCUGGACCGUAGCUGACGCUGAGACACGAAAGCGUGGGUAGCAAACAGG